AAAUUGAAGAGUUUGAUCAUGGCUCAGAUUGAACGCUGGCGGCAGGCCUAACACAUGCAAGUCGAACGGUAGCACAGAGAGCUUGCUCUCGGGUGACGAGUGGCGGACGGGUGAGUAAUGUCUGGGAAACUGCCUGAUGGAGGGGGAUAACUACUGGAAACGGUGGCUAAUACCGCAUAACGUCGCAAGACCAAAGAGGGGGACCUUCGGGCCUCUUGCCAUCAGAUGUGCCCAGAUGGGAUUAGCUGGUUGGUGAGGUAACGGCUCACCAAGGCGACGAUCCCUAGCUGGUCUGAGAGGAUGACCAGCCACACUGGAACUG
rnacentral:rRNA from 1 species